rnacentral:misc_RNA from 1 species
GAAAUGCGAUACUUGGUGUGAAUUGCAGAAUCCCGUGAACCAUCGAGUCUUUGAACGCAAGUUGCGCCCGAAGCCAUUAGGCCGAGGGCACGCCUGCCUGGGCGUCUCACGUUGCGUCGCCCGCGCCCCCUCCCCCCCUCUCGAAAAUGAAGGGGGGAAGAAGGGCUGCGGGCGGAUGUUGGCCCCCCGCGCGCGGGCGCGCGGUCGGCCCAAAAGCGAGUCCCCCGCGACCGACGACGCGUCGCGACGAGUGGUGGUUGACAAACCGUUGCGUCGCCUCGCGCGCGUCCGG